AUUGAACGCUGGCGGCAUGCCUAACACAUGCAAGUCGAACGAGGGGCGGACGGGAGAGCAAUGUCUGGGACACUGCCUGAUGGAGGGGGCUACCUACUGGAAACGUUAGCUAAUACCGCAUACCAUCAGAUGUGUCCAGAUGGGAUUAGCUUGUUGUUGGGGUAAAGGCUCACCAAGGCGACGAUCCGUAGCUGGUCUGAGAGGAUGACCAGCCACACUGGAACUGAGACACGGUCCAGACGCCUACGGGAGGCAGCAGUGGGGAAUAUUGCACAAUGGGCGAAAGCCGGAUGCAGCAAUGCCGCGUGUAUGAAGAAGGCCUUAGGGUUGUAAAGUACUUUCAGCGGGGAGGCGGUACCCACAGAAGAAGCACCGGCUAACUCCGUGCCAGCAGCCGCGGUAAUUC
rnacentral:rRNA from 1 species